rnacentral:rRNA from 1 species
GUAGGGUCCAAGCGUUAAUCGGAAUUACUGGGCGUAAAGCGUGCGCAGGCGGUUGUGCAAGACCGAUGUGAAAUCCCCGGGCUUAACCUGGGAAUUGCAUUGGUGACUGCACGGCUAGAGUGUGUCAGAGGGGGUAGAAUUCCACGUGUAGCAGUGAAAUGCGUAGAGAUGUGGAGGAAUACCGAUGGCGAAGGCAGCCCCCUGGGAUAACACUGACGCUCAUGCACGAAAGCGUGGGGGGAGCAAACAGGAUUAGAUACCCUGGUAGUCCACGCCCUAAACGAUGUCAACUAGUUGUUGGGGAUUCAUUUCCUUAGUAACGUAGCUAACGCGUGAAGUUGACCGCCUGGGGAGUACGGUCGCAAGAUUA